GAUGAACGCUGGCGGCGUGCCUAAUACAUGCAAGUCGAGCGAACAGAUGAGGAGCUUGCUCCUUUGACGUGAGCGGCGGACGGGUGAGUAACACGUGGAUAACCUACCUAUAAGACUGGUAAAACUUCGGGAAACCGGAGCUAACACGGGAGAAGAUAUUGAUCCGCAUGGUUGGAUAGAUAAAUACGGCGUUGGUGUAACUUAUAGAUGGUUCUGGGCUGCAUUAGCUGGUUGGUGGGGUCACGGCUUACCACGGCAACGAUGCGUAUGCGACGUGAGAGGCUGGUCGCCCACACUGGAACUGAAACACGGUCCAUACUCCUACGGGAGGCAGCAGUAGGCUAUGUUCCGCAGUGGGCGGAAGCCUGACGGAGCAAGGCCGCGUGAGUGAUAACAGCCUCCGGAUCGUAAAACCGUGUUAUUGGUGAAGAACAACUUUGUACGUAACUAUGCACGUAUUGACGGUACCUAGUAAGAAAGCCACGGCUAACUACGUG
rnacentral:rRNA from 1 species